rnacentral:RNase_P_RNA from 1 species
AUUUAACCAAUGGCUAGAGCAAUCUAAGGGAAAGUGCAACAGAAAAUAAACCGCUUGAAAAAGUAAGGGUGAAAAGGUGAGGUAAGAGCUUACCGAAAAUGUAGUAAUACAUUUUGCUUUGCAAACCCAAUCUGUAGCAAAAAGGGUAUGGUUAAAGUCCCAAAUAUUAACCCUUUGCUAGAUUUUUAAUGUAAAUUAAAAACAAGAUAAAUAAUCACAUAAACAGAACUCGGCUUAUAGCUACACCUAAUUU